rfam:Schistosoma haematobium scaffold745_4, whole genome shotgun sequence.
AUCCACCUGACGAGUCCUAAAUAGGACGAAAUGCGCAUCCUGGAU